GAGGUCCAGGGACGUGUAGGACUGCCCGGAUUUCAGGGCUGUUCCUGGAGUAGAGAUAGCAUUGUAGGAUAGGGUCAGUCACAUGGCCAGUUUUAUGUUCCCUCUGACCUGCCAAGGGUGCUGUGCCUCUUCUUAAGCCAUGAGCUGGCUCAGGCCCCUUCCCCUGGAGCUUUUUCAGAGUAUUUAUUUAUUUAUUUCAUGGUUCCUGAGAGCACGCAGCACAGGGUAGGAUGAAGAAGACAAGGGGCUUCUGCCUGAGACCCUUCUGCAGUCAUGGACUGCCCUUGGAGCUGAUCUUCAGGAACUGUUUCUGCUGCCCAGUCAUGGGUGUGGUGCCCACACCUGAACCAUUUGAGGUCCUCCUUGCUGAUAGGCCACACACACACAGCAGUAGAGCACUGAGGGUUUGGCAGUGGGGACCAAGCAGGUGAGGUGUACUCCUUUGUCCUGGUGAGAGAUGCUCACCUCUGCGUAUUUAUACUGUAGAGCAGUAGACAGGAACGCUGUGGAGAAUUGUCAAUAAAAGGCCCCAUGCUU
rnacentral:lncRNA from 1 species